GCGAAUUCAGAGCUGUGGUGAUGGACAAACGAAGGGAGGUGGGGAUGAUGAUGAUGGUGGUGAUGCGGAUUGUUUUCGCUCUGAUGAGAGACAACUGGAGGAGGCGGAGGAUACCGUGGUCCCCCUAUAUGGGAGCUGUGAUAGGGCGGCGGAUUUUCACCGUAAAAGGGAGGCGGCGGCGGAUUUUCACCGUAAAAGGGAGGCGGUGGUGCAUCUUCCCCGUAAAAGGGAGGCGGGUAUGGCCGCGGUGGAGGCGGUGGCGCAUCUUCCCCGUAAAAGGGAGGCGGAUAUGGCCGCGGUGGAGGCGGUGGAGCAUCUUCCCCAUAAAAAGGAGGGGGGUGUGGUCGCGGUGGUGGGGGUGGCGGGUAAUCUUCUUCUUCCCUAUCUGGACCAUGGUGUGAAUGGCGAUAGCCAUGGGGGCGUUCCAUUUCGACUUCCUAUCUGCAAAGAUUGGGGCUUUCUAGGUUUAUGAAGCGUUGUUAU
rnacentral:lncRNA from 1 species